UAUUAACUAGUUCGAAAGCUAUAAAAGAGACACCACCUACGCAUUUUAGAACUCAUCACCAUCAUAUUACAGAAGCCCGCUUACCAUAUACGCUACCGGCGCAUCUUAGAGUACGCCACCGGAAUGCUGAUCUUAACUGCCUCGGUGACGAUGUCCGAUGAAAACCCAAAACCCUGCUUAAGUCUUCCGCUGAUCUGUCUGCAGUUUUCCAGAAAGAACUUGUUGGUAAUCAAUUUUUCCGGCGACCAGGUAUCUGUUGCUAUAGGCAUUGGGACCUUCUAUGUGAAGGUGGAUGACGAUGGAUGUGGUGUUUCACGAGAUGGACUGGUGCUGAUGGGAGAAAAGUAUGGUUCCAUGUUAUUUUUGUGCGUCAAUCUAACUGAUGUUGAUCUUUUAGAAUUGCUUCAACAGGUACUUCUAGCCCAGCUUAUGGAGACAUUGACAGAAGGUGCAUUUCAGUUUCGCUGAAACAGGUCUAGUGUUUCACACGCCGCCUCCAUGUUUUAUUGUAAUUCAGGAGUCAGACAAAGGAUACUGGCAUGUACCAACUGCCUCACAACUUGAAUCUGAAGAGGAAAGGACGUGGUUGUGCAUUAGGCGUGCCAAUUCACCUUUGGCAAAUCAAAACUCUGCCAGUGUAAACAUAUGAGUUACAUUCUUAGAAGUUGGUGUAUCUAAUAUUCUACCAUCCAAACAACUGAUGUGCAACAUCUUCGAGAUUAGAAGACGAUUAAAAUCCUCAUUGUGGUCUAUCUAAAUCUAAAGAGCAUGCAGAAGUUGCAACAGCAGAAGAAACCCACAGAUUGUGUUGUUGUGGUUGAAGAGCUAUGGUGGAAAGCUUCGAAUUUUUCAGCUCUCAAAAGAACGGGCCUGUGUCAUUCUUCAAUGUAUAGAAUCAGAAGUUGUUUUCUUGCGGUAAGCUGAAGCACGUAAAAGAGUUACCAAGGUGGAAAUAGGCUGUCAGAACAUGAGAAGCUUCAAAAACUUGUUUUAAGUUGCACAUAAUAUUGCUUAGUAUAAGUAAAACCUAUACUUUAGAUCCAAAGUAUAUGUGAACUUAAACAUUUAUUAACAAAUGUGUAUGCAUUAGUAUAUUUGUCAGAUCAAUAUUUGCCUAAGUAGAAGUGAAAAAAACAGUAGGCGGAGAAUCUGCAAAAUCAAUUGAUGUAUGCUAUUUUUGGGCGACUUAAAUAAGAUAGAGUUGCAGAAUGCUUUUCAUCUUUAUAGUUGAAUUGGAUGUCGUUGGAUUAAAUUAAUUCAAUUUCCUUUUGCUCUGUGUCUAUUGUGAAAGUUAGUUUUGUAUAAUUGUAUAAAUGUAAGUUGCAGUGUUGGGCCCAUGCUAAGCACGGCCACAUGCCAUCUAAUUUGGAAAGAAAUAUGACGUUAAUAGUGUGGCCAAUGAACCUCUCGUGUGGUCCAGGGAUGUCAAUGUUUCAGACUCCUCCAUUCUUGGAUAUCCAAGACUGCAUUUGGUGUUCCAAACAAUUCACACUUUUGCACCCCAAGAUUUGAUUCCUAUUCCUUUGGCCAACCAGCAGUAUCCAUGUCAGAGAGCAAAGGCUUACAUUAGUGUCCUUUUUCUCAUGUAUAGGAGCAGAUGCUAUAAGAUUAUAUAAUGUUCAAUGUGCAUUACUAUAUGAUCUACAUCGAUCUGAAAUCCAUGUCGCUCUUUUGUUAAAUAUUAGUACCAAGUACUAUUUGUUCUUAUUUUAUAUUGUUGGAUAUCCUAAGUGCUUAAUCUAAGAUCAAAUUUGCA